rnacentral:rRNA from 1 species
CAGUCGCCGCGGGAAUACGAAGGGGGCUAGCGUUGUUCGGAUUUACUGGGCGUAAAGCGCACGUAGGCGGAUCGAUCAGUCAGGGGUGAAAUCCCAGAGCUCAACUCUGGAACUGCCUUUGAUACUGUCGAUCUGGAGUAUGGAAGAGGUGAGUGGAAUUCCGAGUGCAGAGGUGAAAUUCGUAGAUAUUCGGAGGAACACCAGUGGCGAAGGCGGCACACUGGUCCAUUACUGACGCUGAGGUGCGAAAGCGUGGGGAGCAAACAGGAUUAGAUACCCGAGUAGUCCCUGUCUCUUAUAC